rnacentral:rRNA from 1 species
AGCGAACGCUGGCGGCAGGCCUAACACAUGCAAGUCGAACGGACCCUUCGGGGUUAGUGGCGGACGGGUGAGUAACACGUGGGAACGUGCCUUUAGGUUCGGAAUAGCUCCUGGACACGGGUGGUAAUGCCGAAUGUGCCCUUCGGGGGAAAGAUUUAUCGCCUUUAGAGCGGCCCGCGUCUGAUUAGCUAGUUGGUGGGGUAAUGGCCCACCAAGGCUACGAUCAGUAGCUGGUCUGAGAGGAUGACCAGCCACAUUGGGACUGAGACACGGCCCAAACUCCUACGGGAGGCAGCAGUGGGGAAUCUUGCGCAAUGGGCGAAAGCCUGACGCAGCCAUGCCGCGUGUAUGAUGAAGGUCUUAGGAUUGUAAAAUACUUUCACCGGUGAAGAUAAUGACUGUAGCCGGAGAAGAAGCCCCGGCUAACUUCGUGCCAGCCGCCGCCGUAAGAC